rnacentral:rRNA from 1 species
UACAGGGGGUGCAAACGUUGCUCGGAAUUAUUGGGCGUAAAGCGCGCGUAGGCGGCCACUUAAGUCGGAUGUGAAAGCCCCUGGCUCAACUGGGGAAGUGCACCCGAAACUGAAUGGCUUGAAUGCAAAAGAGGGUCGCGGAAUUCCCGGUGUAGAGGUGAAAUUCGUAGAUAUCGGGAGGAACACCGGUGGCGAAGGCGGCGACCUGGGUUGACAUUGACGGUGAGGCGCGAAAGCGUGGGGAGCAAACAGG